AAGUAUGUUUUUGUUUUAUUGCAGCUUUUAUCUUAUUUUUUUAUUUAUUUCAAAUGUUGUACUAAUUACUUUUUUCUACUAUCAAUCUGAAUUUGUAUAGUUGAAAAGUGUAACAAAUACUCACAGCAUACAUCCACUAAUUCAAUAUAACAUUAUUAAAAAGUAAUCUAUCCUAAACCUUAAAAAAAAAAAUCUAACCUGGAAGUAAUUCAGUAAAUUACUUGCAUGACGCAGUGUAAUUUGGUUUAAAAUGAAAUCUGGUCUGUGCUGGGAAUUAAUUUCUAGAAUUAUAUUUCAAACUCUCUGCAUUGCAAGAUACUCUUUCUCAUGGUUGUCAAAAAAUGAUUUUUUAAAAAGCUUAUAGAUAUGGAAUACAGCAUUUUUUCCAUUACAUACUCUGUGCAUUUAGGAAGGAGGGGGCUUAUGCAAUGCUACGCAGAAGAAUGCACUCCUUGAACUUUAUCUCCUUCAUUUUGUUGGCAUUUUAUGUUGCAGAACAAUACAAACCCAUGAAGUUUUAAAUAAUGCUCUUAAUUAUCAUGUGUGUGUGUGUGUAUGUUGUGCACAUAAAGUCUGCCUCAUAAUCUCAAACAUCUAAAGAAACUUCAUUCAAACCAGUUGCUUUGAGAAAUCCCCUAAUCAGUUAAUCAAGUUCACUUGUGCGUAAUUUAAAUUUGGUAUAAAGACAGUUGUUCUGUGAAGGUCUCAAAGGUUUGUCAGAGAACAUCAACAAAUAAAGGACAUAAUGAAGACUAAGGAAAACAUCAGUAAGGUCAGGGAAAAAUGUUGAGACCAUAAUAGCUCAGUGACCAGCUUUUACAAACAUUACACAGACAGUUUGUUUGAAGUGUGAUUUUAAAGGAUUAUAAUGUUCUGACAUGCCUUGCACAAGUAUUCAUAUACUUCUGACAUCUGAACAGUCUUUGCUGUGAGCUAUCCAUUGUAGCUCUGGAUGUAUGCUUAAGGGUUGAGUGCUACUGGAAGGCGAACUUCUGUUCCUGUCUUAAUAGGUUUUCUUCCAGGAUUGCCCUGUAUUGAGCAGCAACACUGACGCACUUCCCUCUUUGCCCUAAAGUAAAUAAUUUCCACCUAAUGAUGCUGUCGUCAGUAUGGUUCUCCUUCAACUUCAGGUUUUGGUCUCACAUUACUUUUUUUUUCUUUUUUACAGUACAGAACAAGCCAUUAUAUAGGUAGAUUUUACUACAUGAGCCUGUAAGUGGAGUCUAUCAAUACUCUCCUUGUCUGUCCUGUCAGCUUAGGUGGACUCGCAUGUCUCGGUUUGCAUUUACACCAUACUCCUUCCGUUUUCAUGCAGUUAGUUCAUUUUGUUCAUUUAUGUUCUCUAAGAAGGGCUUCACAAAACAGCUACAUUUAUGUAGAUGUGAAAUUAUACACAAGUGGAUUGUACACUUGCUAUAGCUCUUCAGGCACUUGGAUUUUACUUAUGGGGUUUUCAGAAUAAUGUAAUAAGAAAUGGAAACGUGUAAUCAUUUUUGCUUUCUCUUCACAAUAAUGUGCUACUUUGUUCUUGGAACAUGCAUUCUUUCAAGUUUGCUGUUACAACGUGAGAAGCGUGAAUGCUUUUGAAAGACCUUGCAGUCGCUGUUGAAGAUGUCACCGCCGUCGCCCUGCUCGGCGCUGUCCGAUGACUGUGGUGCUGAAAGUCAAAGCGACACAUCUGACGGCGCUUCUCACUGUUAGAGCAGGUGCCCAAUUUUAAUUUCACGGUUUAAUAGGGCGCAUCGAUCACAUGAUGCUCGUUGUGACGCCAACCAGGUGACAACGGAUCAGAAAAUCAAUCUGAACACGUCUAUUUACUCUCUCUCUCUCUCUCUCUCUCUCUCUCUCUCUCUCUCUCUUUUCUUUUCGUCUAUUCAGGUAGUUGUUUCACGGUUAGAUUUAGCAUCCCUGUUCUCGGGUUUUGCUCCAGGGGGGCUGUUACACGAGUCUGUGAACCGGAUGGAGCUGGACUGAAACCAGGUCAAACUCACACUUAGAGAAAAUAAAAAAAUAAUAAAAUAAAUAAAUAAAUAAAAGUCACAUGAAAAAAAAACGUUUUUAACUGAUUUUGAUGCCGAGUACAUAUUAAUUAUUAACAUUUAGCUUGUGUGGUCAAAUGAAGCUGUGCAAUAUGGGAGAACAUGGCGGACAAAGUCCAUGGACAAAGCGGCUCUGCUUUUGCUCAGUCUAACGAAGAAGAAGGAGAAGAAUACGAGUGCAAAAUCUGCUACAACCACUACGACUUGGACCGUCGCAUUCCCAAAGAGUUGAGCUGCUCCCACACCUUCUGUCUGGAGUGCCUCGAAACUCUGCACUCACGAGAGGGUCGAGGAUGGAGGAUCGGCUGUCCCGUGUGUCGCCAUCGGACUCCGGUUCGGGAAUAUCAGGUUCAAAACCUCCCGAACAACAGGGCGCUGUCCGAGGCUCUUCCCCUUAGAGAGCAUCGGCGACAGAGCUCAUCAGACACGGAAGAACAACAGACAGGUCCGUCCGGAUCUUUCGCCACCGAGGAACGCUGUGAGACCUGCAAGAACGCAGCCUUUACCGCGGGCUGUGUGUGCGCCAUCUUCUCCUUCCUCUCCAUGGUGGUGCUUUUAUUUCUGGGCCUCAUUUUCGUGCACAACUUCAACCACAUAGCGUCUCCCGUCGGCCCGGUUUGUCUGUUCGUCGCCAGCGUCCUGGCUCUGCUCUCUAUAAUACUCACUUGGCUGAUGUGCAUGCUGAAGUAUGGAGCAGAAGCAGAAGCGAGCACUCUAAGUUCCCUCACCUCUAAUGUAAUGUGAUCCUCAGAGUUUGAACUGGACUUUUGAAAUGGGAUAUUCAGAGGUGUGAAAGUCAAGGGCUUGACGCGCCUCCAUAGUGAAUUUUGAGAACAAUUAGGAUUGUCAAUAAAUGACUGUGUGCUUGAUGAAAAUGGACUAAUUGUGUCGGAAAUGGUUGUUGCUCAUUUGUUUGAGUUUCAUUUACUGUGGUGAGGAGCGCCACAUAACCAAUUUAUUUUCAAACCUCAUGUUACCCUUUAUGUCCUUUUUAUUUUCAGUAUCUUCAAACAGUCCAUUUCAUGCCAACACAGCAUUUUUUUUUGUCAGGGUGGCACUAUUCCUGCUGAGAAACGUUUUCUAAGAAGAGUUAAAAAUUUCAAUCUCUUGUUGCCGUUCUCAAGUGCAAACGGCGGUUCCUGCCCAAGGCGACGUUCAUGUCAGAAGAACUGAUACUGCCAAUGGCAAAUUGUAUCAUUUGGCUCUGCACCAAUUUGCUCUUUACCUAACUUUACAUGCAGUGCAGUUUCAUAUUGUUUGUUGUACCUAAGAUCCACUUACGGCUUUUUAUUGUAAUUAUGUAUUUCAUGAACUUUUAAGAUUAAAAUAGAAACUCUUCAAAGUUCCAAGACAAACUA